rnacentral:rRNA from 1 species
UGGGGAAUAUUGGACAAUGGGGGCAACCCUGGUCCAGCCAUGCCGCGUGAGUGAUGAAGGCCUUCGGGUUGUAAAGCUCUUUUGGCGGGGACGAUGAUGACGGUACCCGCAGAAUAAGCCCCGGCUAACUUCGUGC